CCUACGGGAGGCUGCAGUGAGGAAUAUUGGUCAAUGGGCGCUAGCCUGAACCAGCCAAGUAGCGUGAAGGAUGACUGCGCUAUGGGUUGUAGACUUCUUUUGUAUGGGAACAAAAUGCAGGAUUUAUACGGCUUUGCAGGUACCUGAUGAAUAAGGAUCGGCUAACUCCGUGCCAGCAGCCGCGGUAAUACGGAGGAUCCGAGCGUUAUCCGGAUUUAUUGGGUUUAAAGGGAGCGUAGGCGGGUUGUUAAGUCAGUUGUGAAAGUUUGCGGCUCAACCGUAAAAUUGCAGUUGAUACUGGCAUCCUUGAGUACAGUAGAGGUAGGCGGAAUUCGUGGUGUAGCGGUGAAAUGCUUAGAUAUCACGCAGAACUCCGAUUGCGAAGGCAGCCUGCUGGGCUGUAACUGACGCUGAUGCUCGAAAGUGUGGGUAUCAAACAGGAUUAGAUACCCUUGUAGUC
rnacentral:rRNA from 1 species